UCCCUUGUGGUUCAGUCGGUAAAGCGUCUGCCUACAAUGCAGGAGACCCGGGUUCGAUCCCUGGGUUGGGAA
rnacentral:tRNA from 1 species